rnacentral:tRNA from 4 species
GCGGUCAUGGCGGAAUUGGCAGACGCGCUAGCUUCAGGCGCUAGUGGUAGAAAUACCGUGGAAGUUCGAAUCUUCUUGGCCGCA